rnacentral:lncRNA from 1 species
GAUGGCGACAUCGGAUGUUCCUGUGAUCUAGGCAGAAAAUCUCACCAGCGAUCUUAGGUCAAUCCUCUACUGGUAUGUGUCUCUCCCCCUUCCAUGCAUCCCCUAUUUUUGAUAGGUUCAGUUACUCUCGAUCUGGUAUCCGUGUUGGUGGAAGAGGAGAUGAGAGGAUGAGGACGUGAGGGUUGGAUUUAAAUUGGGGGAAAUAGCAGGCUUGCCAAUUGCAAUCUAUUGCUCCAUAUCACGCAGGCAUUAGGGCUCCCCUGAUCUCGUCCUUGAGGAACAUCGACCUUGCACGAUCUCGACCUCGAGUGAUGCAACUGGUCAUCUUGCCGGCUACAUGCCGAUUCAACCAGUGUCUCAGCCACGCUGCUGUUCAAGAGAGCCUCCGCUUCCGCCCUACAUCAACCAUAUCUUCCCCUAGAUGCGUGAGGAGGAGAAAGUAGGAGGACAGGAGGAGAACGCCUCUAUCAUGUAGACAGUAGAGUACUACUUAGGUAUUUUGCUUCAUGAUAUCCAACACAGAUUGCACUGCAAGGAUCAUCAGUACUACAGAUUGGUUCUGAAAGUCUUUUUUAGCUUGUGUUGCAUCGGGCAUCUAAUUGUAAUUCUAGAUGUUUUUCUUGAUUACAAGUUUAAUUAUAACUUGCUUUGGUCUGUUGUAUCUUGCGAAACGAAUUAAGUCAUUUGUGUGUAAAAAUGAUCAGGGUAAAUGUACAUGAUUAGAUGGCGGACCUAUACAAAGUAUGGACAAGAUAGGGACAACAAGUUUGAAGAUGGCAAAAAGGGACCUUCAGAAGAUGUAUCACGGAUUGCAACGAAUCAUCUCCUGUCGAUUGGAGUCGACUCGCUAUAUUGAGAAAAUAAAUCGCUCUUGCUACACACCUUAUGGUGAUUGAUAUACGCUAACUCGCCGAAGGACGAUUAUUGCAAGUCAGUUACUAUGUCGGCUGUGUGUUCCUACUUCACUCCACGCGCGUCUAUAUAGGCUCUCCCGUGUCGCUGUUCGUUCCCCACUCCCCUCUUUGGCUUCUUAAUUCUAUGACAGUCUCCGACAGACAUCGUUGAUGCUUAGGUCACCACUCCAUCUUGUGAGCUAUGCCUGUCUCCGCUCCCUCCUACCUACCCUCUUAACUCAAUUCUUUCUCCAGGGAAUGUAGAAACACUUCUACUCCAUAAAAAAAAGAAUUUAGGAAUACUUCUAACCCCAAUUCUUUGAUUCCCAGGUUUUCACUGAGUUCACCGUGACUUGCUGCUACAGGCUUGUGAUUACAUACACAAAUUGGAUGUUCUGAGGUGGAUAUACCACGGGUUGUCAUGGGGGUUGCGCUGGCCGCCCUUGAUUAGUUCAUGAUACAGCAAUUGUAUGUGUGGAAGUAGUGGCAUGUUUAAGUAAAGAUGGUCGACCGGAAUGAGUAUGUCUGCGUGUAGUUUUGUGGUUCAGAUUAUGUACUAUGUUUCCAGAACGCUUAUGUUUGGGUGUGACUGUGCACAUAGAAGUUUUGGUUUCAGUUGUAGGCUUGUAGCUGAUGCUCAUCAACUCAAUCACUCAUGGCCACCUGUACAUACGGAAUCAAUGCCUUAGAUAUUGUUAUUAUUCGUGCUCAGUUCAAUUUGGUUGACUUCUCCCUUGCCUCAGAUUCACCCUUCUUCCUAUGUUCCUCCCAUCUUUUGCCCAGUUAAUUAUGGGUUCUGACUUUUGUUAUAGUUUCUUCCCAAUUUGAUGCAGGUGGUGUUAGUGUACGAAGUGGCAACUGGUUCUACUCGAUUGGCUGAAGGAAUCCUAUAUAGUUUUCGAUUUCCAAUAGCUAAUGGCCAGGUCACUAAAUGUACAUGUACUCCUAUUGGUGAUGUGCUUGCUGGCACUGGUUUGAAGACAUAAUGGAUGUAUGCUUAACUAUUUUAUUCAACUCCAUGGAUGUGUUUCUUGCCCCUGUUUUAGAUCUCUCUAUGUCUUGGGCAUGUAUAUGUUAAAAUGUUCAUCCGAGAAAAAAUGACAUAC